rnacentral:rRNA from 1 species
UACGUAGGUGGCGAGCGUUGUCCGGAUUUACUGGGCGUAAAGAGCGCGCAGGCGGCUGGUCAAGUCCGAUGUGAAAGCUCCCGGCUUAACUGGGAAAUUGCAUCGGAAACUGAUCGGCUGGAAGGUGGGAGAGGGUAGCGGAAUUCCCGGUGUAGUGGUGAAAUGCGUAGAUAUCGGGAGGAACACCAGUAGCGAAGGCAGCUAACUAAGCCAUAACUGACGCUGAUGCACGAAAGCGUGGGGAGCAAACAGG